rnacentral:lncRNA from 1 species
AUUUGCCCUAACCUGAGUAUCAGGCUCUAUUUUACGGCCUGAUACUCAGGUUACAUUUGCCCAUGCAUUUUCGAUCAGAGGUAAUUAAUCAUUAUCAGUACGUAACCUUGCAUGGCCGAUUAUUCAAGUGUUACAGUAUGAUUUUAGAACCAUGGUCAGUACGUGUGGAUACGUACGACUUCUUUUUUUCGCCUUUGUGUGUGCGAUUUUGCCGAUUUGGGUUGGAAAAAAAUGCGAAUUCAGAAUUGGCAAAUCCAGCUUUUAAUUAUGCACAAAGGGAAUGAUGGAAACUAAAUUAUCAUAUUGCUGAUUACGCUGAAACAUUUCAGUAAAAACUGCCGAAACAACCGAAAUAUUUCAAUAUUUACAAUAAAAAGCUAUAACUCCGUGUUUACACGGCCGUCAUUUUUAUUUUACAGCAUAAUGUCCUUUUGUCUUCUUGGUCGGAAAUGCAAGUGACCAGCUCAGGUUCGAUCUUUGAAAAAAAAUAUACCCGGGUACAUUUAAGGAGGAGUUAGGGAUCAUCUCCCUAGUCGUUUGCGUGCCGGUGCAGACUCCUCGUUAUAGACAAAUUCAUUGCACGAACCCAAGUGGGUGAAAAUUUGUCUCGAACAAACAUAAACUUCCCAUCUUCCCCUGCGCGCAUAAAUUAAAAGCGGAAUUUGUGAUAAAACGUGGAAUUUGGAAUAAAACGUGGAAUUGGGAAGAAACGCGGAAAUAGGUUAUUUUGAAAGCGAUAUCAAAGAG